rnacentral:rRNA from 1 species
ACGGGAGGCAGCAGUGGGGAAUAUUGGGCAAUGGGCGAAAGCCUGACCCAGCAACGCCGCGUGAAGGAAGAAGAUUUUCGGAUUGUAAACUUCUUUUAUGAGGGACGAAGGACGUGACGGUGCCCCAUGAAUAAGCCACGGCUAACUACGUGCCAGCAGCCGCGGUAAUACGUAGGUGGCGAGCGUUAUCCGGAUUUACUGGGUGUAAAGGGCGCGUAGGCGGGGUGACAAGUCAGAUGUGAAAUCUAUGGGCUCAACCCAUAAACUGCAUUUGAAACUGCCACUCUUGAGUGCUGGAGAGGUAGACGGAAUUCCUUGUGUAGCGGUGAAAUGCGUAGAUAUAAGGAAGAACACCAGUGGCGAAGGCGGUCUACUGGACAGUAACUGACGCUGAGGCGCGAAAGCGUGGGGAGCAAACAGGAUUAGAUACCCUGGUA